UCAAACCACAUCGUAGAAGGUUGUGAAAUGGAUAAGAUGAUAAAGACUAUAUGUAGAGAUAAACUGCAGGGAUAAGUCAGAGAAUGAUUAUAAUGGCUGUUAAAGACAAGUUAAUAAAAAAAAAAUAAAAUAAAAUAAAGAGAAAAAAAAAAUGAUUUGCAGAUAAACUGCCAAUAAUAAUAAAGCUAGGAUAUCUCUAAGAAAACCUGACAUAAUUUGUUAAAACUUUGAACAACUUAAAUUGUUUUCCAUUUCAUAUCAUUUACACUAGGGAUAAGACCUAAGAUAGGUAUAGCCAUAUGAAUUUAGAAUAUAGAGGGGCAAUAAUGACAAUAAAGAUAUUUCCAAAAGAUCACAAAGAAAAUAAGAUCUUAAUUUAGGGGCCAUAUACAGUAUAUGAAAACAUUCUGACUUAGGGAGGUGAGUGUGUGUGUGUAGAGAGAGAGAGAGAGAGAGAGAGAGAUGGGCAGACAGAGAGUAAAAGAAA